CCUACGGGUGGCAGCAGUGAGGAAUAUUGGUCAAUGGGCGCGAGCCUGAACCAGCCAAGUAGCGUGAAGGAUGACUGCCCUAUGGGUUGUAAACUUCUUUUAUAAGGGAAUAAAGUGAUGCACGUGUGCGUUUUUGUAUGUACUUUAUGAAUAAGGAUCGGCUAACUCCGUGCCAGCAGCCGCGGUAAUACGGAGGAUCCGAGCGUUAUCCGGAUUUAUUGGGUUUAAAGGGAGCGUAGGUGGGUUGUUAAGUCAGUUGUGAAAGUUUGCGGCUCAACCGUAAAAUUGCAGUUGAUACUGGCAGUCUUGAGUACAGUUGAGGUAGGCGGAAUUCGUGGUGUAGCGGUGAAAUGCUUAGAUAUCACGAAGAACCCCGAUUGCGAAGGCAGUUCACUGAACUGUGACUGACACUGAUGCUCGAAAGUGUGGGUAUCAAACAGGAUUAGAUACCCGAGUAGUC
rnacentral:rRNA from 1 species